UGUUAUAUGUUUACUAUUAUUGUUACAAUUAGUUGGUUUUAUUUAUAAAUUUAAAUUAUUAUGCUAUUUAGUUACUUUAAAUUGUGUUAUUUAACAUACCUUCAUUAGUUAAUAUCUGGUAAAAGCCUUGUAACAUUUAUUUCAUUAGGUAGCGUAAAUUAUAAACCACUAGAGUUAGGCUUUUCAAUUAUUAUGAACAUUAUUUUCAUCUAAAAUUUAAAUUGCUUAAAAAUACGUUAAUUUAAUCAUCGUCAUCUAAUGGUUGUGUUGUAAUACACAAAAUGUCUCAUUUAAUCAACUGUAACCAGGCUCCUGUUAAUCUCAACAAUCAAUUUGAGCUUUCUCUUGAUUUUGGUUGAUAGUUUUUUUGCUACCGCUGUUGAUGCUGAUGUUUGGAUUAAUACGGAACAGAUAAUCAACGAUAGGUGUUCAAAUCAAGUGUCCUUAAUUGAGCUAACUUAAUUAACAGGAUAAGUUGGUGAAUCAAAGUGAUCAAGAAAACGCAAGGAGAUGAAAAGAAGUUAUAAGUCAAUUGAAAUAUUCCAUUCAAAUCAGGAUCAAGCUAAUCUUUUAAUAACACUGCUCAAGGCCAGGUCGGAUCAGAUCAUCAUCCUGUAUCAAUUGAAAGUGGACACAAAACCCGAAUCAAUUUUCAAUCAAUUGGGUUCUCCUUUUUUUCUGGUUAAAGACCAUCAUCUCUAAUCCUUCAAAUCAAUUGAUCAAUUGGUUCGGAUAAACAGAUUAUAAUGCCACUCAAUCUCGCGAAACAUUGUUACCAUGUAAUUCGGUCGUCAUUUCAAUCUCUCCAAACGAAUUGACGCCAAAAAAAUGAAAUCCUACGUUCCUUGGCCAUUAAAAAAUACAUCACUUUUGCCGAUACAAUUAAGAUAACUUAAUCUUAUUGUAUAAGUCUGUCAAACAGUAAAGCAAACAUAAUGUUCAAACAUGUUCAAGGUGCAACAAUAGGCCAUUAAUAUUGUGAUAUAAUUACAUCUACUUAUGCUAAUAGCAGGAGCAAUGGUCAAAAGCAUAUCAAACCAAGAUUUAUCUUAAAUUGCUAUACUUAAUUGAAUUAGAUUUCAUUUGCUAUCAUUUACCGAUUAACCUUGACCCGAUCUUUGAAUACAUUUUCACACUGGAAAUUGAAUUGAACGUUAAUAGCCAAGUUGAUCAAGGUAAAAAUGUGAAGAUUUACGCCCGAUGAUUAGAUUAUUCAGUGUAUCAGAAAUGUAAAUAAAUAUUGAAAAUACUUGCAUUGCUAUUUAAUUUGUAGAUCAGUUCAAUCAAUGGUUAAAGUAAAUUAAACUUGCAAUUUGAAAACAA